AUGACCCGCAAAAGACCGAAGUCAAGCACGCACGCAGAAGGGGAAACGAAGGAAGAGGAAGAGCCAGCCUUGCAAGUUGAAGGGCAGAUCCACCAUCGCCGGCUGAAGAGUGGACCCGACAAUCAGAAUAGAGAAGCUACUAUAGUCUAUAAUAUCUUCUUACAAACUUAUAUAACAUCGUUCUUCUUAAGACAUCAACUCCUUGCUUCUUUCUAUGUUAAACCAUCUCCAUCAUGCACUAAGACACUUUCAUUUGGUUCCGCUACUCUUAUGCAGAAAACAUUAUUACACUCCAAGCCAGAUCCUGUCUUUCUCUACCACCACAACGCCAUGCACACAUGCCUCACCAACUUACCCUCAUACCGACAUCCUCACACUCAGCUCCAAUGUCCAAACCCUUCACCAAACCAAGCAAGUCCAUGCUUCUGCUCUCCUCAAUGGUUUACUUCCCCACAGUGUCUCUCUCUGUGCCUCCCUCAUGCUCAGUUACGCCACUUUCAAAUACCCGGAAACCUCUCACCAUCUCUUCGAACAAACAGUUCAUCGUUGUCGCACUGCUUUCUUGUGGAACACCCUCAUACGGGCUUAUUCCAUUGCUCAAGUUAAUGAUAAUUUUCAGACUUACAAUCGAAUGGUUCGAAGCGGUGUUGGACUCGAUGAUCAUACUUUUCCUUUCGUUCUCAAAGUGUGUUCAGACCUUUUGGAGGUAAAAAAAGGGAUGGAGAUUCAUGGGGUUGUGUUUAAAGUGGGCUUUGAUUUUGAUAUUUUCGUUGGAAAUACACUUUUAAUGUUAUAUGGUAGUUGUGGGGAUAUGAGAGAUGCAAAGAGGGUGUUUGAUGAAAUGCGUGAAAGGGAUGUUAUCUCAUGGAAUACGGUUAUUGGAGUGUUUACAGCCAAUGGGUUUUUCAUGCAGGCACUUCAUUAUUAUAGAGAGAUGAAUUUGGGAAUUGGGUUUAAGCCAAAUCUUGUUAGUGUCAUUAGUGUGUUGCCGGUUUGUGCAGAGUUGGAAGAUGAGCAGAUGGCGAUCCAGAUUCAUUGCUAUGUUGUGAAGGCUGGUUUGGAUCUUCUGGUCACUACUGGAAAUGCAUUGGUUGAUGUGUACGGGAAAUGUGGGAAUGUGAAAGCUUCAAAACAUGUUUUUGGUGAGAUGAUUCAGAAGAAUGAGGUUUCUUGGAAUGCUACUAUCACUAGUCUCUCUUACAUGGGGCAUAACAUGGAAGCCUUGGCUACAUUUAGAUGGAUGAUUGAUGUAGGGAUGAAACCAAACUCUGUCACAAUUUCUAGCAUGCUACCAGUGUUGGUUGAACUUGCAUUUUUUGGAGUUGGCAAAGAACUCCAUGGUUUCAGUAUGAGAAUGGGUAUUGAAUCGGAUGUCUUCAUUGCCAACUCACUAAUUGAUAUGUAUGCAAAAUCAGGCCGUUCAAAUGAGGCAUCCAAUGUUUUCCAAGAUAUGGAUAAAAGGAAUAUUGUUUCCUGGAAUGCUAUGAUUGCUAAUUUUGGUCAAAACAGGCUUGAGUUGGAAGCCAUUGGACUUGUGAGACAAAUGCAAGGUCAUGGUGAAAUUCCCAACUCUGUCACCUUCACAAAUCUUCUUCCAGCAUGUGCUCGGUUGGGUUCCCUUCGUUAUGGAAAAGAAAUCCAUGCAAGGACAGUCCGCAUGCUAUAUGCCUCCGAUUUGUUUGUCUCCAAUGCUCUGACAGACAUGUACGCAAAAUGUGGCCGGCUAGAUCUUGCUCGGAAUGUAUUUAACAUCUCCCUCAGGGAUGAGGUGUCUUAUAAUAUACUAAUAAUUGGCUAUUCUCAAACUACGGAUUGCUUAGAGUCUCUGAAUUUGUUUUCUGAAAUGAAGCUUGUGGGAAUGAUUCAUGACAUUGUUUCCUUUGUGGGAGUUAUAUCAGCUUGCGCAAAUGUAACUGCAAUCAAGCAAGGCAAAGAGAUUCAUGGGUCAUUAGUAAGAAAGCUUUUCCAUACUCAUCUAUUUGUUGCAAACUCACUUUUGGAUUUUUAUACCAAAUGCGGACGAAUUGAUCUUGCUGCUAAGGUCUUUGACCGCAUUCCAAGCAAGGAUGUAGCCUCUUGGAAUACUAUGAUUUUGGGGUAUGGAAUGCUAGGUGAGCUUAACACUGCAAUCAGUCUUUUUGAAGCAAUGAGGGAAGACGGUGUAGAAUACGAUUCAGUUUCCUAUAUUGCAGUUUUGUCAUCUUGUAGUCAUGGAGGGCUGGUUGAGAAGGGGAAAAAUUAUUUUGAGGGAAUGCAGGCACUGAAUAUAGAGCCGACAGAAAAGCACUAUGCUUGCAUGGUUGAUCUCCUUGGCCGAGCUGGCCUUAUGGAAGAAGCAGUAGAGCUUAUUAAAGGCAUGCCCAUUGUACCAGAUGCCAAUAUUUGGGGUGCCUUGCUUGGAGCAUGCCGAAUCCAUGGGAACGUAGAGUUGGCUAGUUGGGCAGCAGACCAUUUGUUCAGGUUGAACCCUGAGCAUUGUGGGUACUAUAUACUUCUUUCAAACAUGUAUGCAGAAGCUGGGAGAUGGGAUGAGGUAAACAGGGUGAGGGAACUGAUGAAAUCAAGAGGAGUGAAGAAGAACCGUGCUUGCAGUUGGGUUCAGGUUCAGGACCAGAUGCAUGCUUUUGCAGUUGGAGAGAGUCUGGAGACAUUAAAUUCAGAUAGUUGGAUCGCAGAAUCUUAAUAUGUUUUUGACAUUCAAAUUAAAGUUUGA